UAUGGUACCAGCAGCCGCGGUAAAACGUAGGUCACAAGCGUUGUCCGGAUUUACUGGGUGUAAAGGGAGCGUAGACGGAUGGACAAGUCUGAUGUGAAAGGCUGGGGCUCAACCCCGGGACUGCAUUGGAAACUGCCCGUCUUGAGUGCCGGAGAGGUAAGCGGAAUUCCUAGUGUAGCGGUGAAAUGCGUAGAUAUUAGGAGGAACACCAGUGGCGAAGGCGGCUUACUGGACGGUAACUGACGUUGAGGCUCGAAAGCGUGGGGAGCAAACAGG
rnacentral:rRNA from 1 species